AGAUUGCUGCCGUUAAUUUGUCAUUCUGCGAAGCAGGAAAUGCGUGUGUUACAUUCUAUUGUCUAAGCUGGGUACUGAACCAAAUGAAUUGCUGCUCAAGUAUUACUUGUUGUGCAGUAUACAGAGAUCUGUCCAUCUUUAUGAACUUGACACUGUUAGUUCGAGCAUUAUUAAGCAAAAGAUGAAACAAGUCCCACAUAAAGCGAAGUUCAAGGAGCAGCUGUUUCAGUCCAUGGGUACUUUAACAUGCUCCAUUAGAUCGUCCACUUCCUCAAUUACAGAUGUCUCAUGGAGGAGUGCAAAGUAUCAUAUGAAUAGUCUGUAAGAGGUUUAAGCACCGUUCUCAUAUCCUCUCCCAGGUUCAAAUGAAUAGUCUGUCGCAGCAGCUAGCUGCGGAGCAUUAUAUAUGGGAGGAAAUAAGGCCUUUGUUUCUCAGGCAAGGCAAAUUUCUGUGUCACUCAAUAACAUACUGAUUCUUCUGGCCCUGCACCAACACAAUGAGAAAUUACCUCUUUUUUGGUUGUUGUUGUUGUUCUUUUUAUUGAACAAUAUAUGGGAAGAUUAAACAGGAUGUAAUAUAGAUUGUAAUUUGUUAUA